rnacentral:lncRNA from 1 species
UCUGCAAGCAAUAUGCUGCUCAUCAAAUGGAACGGGAAGUGUUUAGUUAUUUACCAAGGAUUUUGCUGGGAUAAAAUGAAAUGGAAUUCGGUAUAGAAAACAUCACUUGAUGCUUAGAUAUUCAUCCUACCCAUGCAAGCGCAAGCCUAGCUGGGCCGAAAUCAAUCACAAUGAAGCCUCACUGUAAUCCGCGCUUUCAAAAAUCAGAGCUCGUAAAACCAAGACGCAGC